UCAGUUCCAACGCUAUCAAGCUGGGCUAUCAGUAGUUAUAAGAAAUUUUAUAUUGAAAGCUGAUGGGUCAGUAAUUGUGACCCGGGAUUCACGAACCUUCUCCACUUCUCACAUUGAUGCAGCGGAUGAGUACACUUCUGAAGCCAGUAGGCUUGUUCAUCCCCCAGAAGCCCUGUUUAUGAGCCUGGAACAGGCAGCUGCCUCCCCUGCCAAGACACUUGUGUCUGUUAGGGGACACAUUGUGCAGGAGGACCAGGAAAGACAGGUCAAUUUUGGGAAUACAUAGACAAGAGUGAAAGAUAUCACAAUCUCCGACAAUCGUCGCAGAAUCAAACUGAUCUUUUGGCGAGAGGCAUGUGACAUGCUCCACAGAACAGGAACAUUUAUACAGGUCACAAAUGCUGUACACAGAGGGGAGACUUCGCUGUCACUCACCAUAAGAAGCACCAUCCAGGCUUCUGAGGCUCCAUUAGAAGCAAGAGAUUUCACCAUUGAAGGUGUUGGCGGGGACCAAGAGAAAAAGAACUCCUGGCAGAUAAUGGGGAAUGCUUCACAUUAGACAGUGAGACCUUGAGUUUGGCCCUUCCUGGAGAGGACAUUGACACUUUCCUAGCACAAAAUGCACCAGUCACCCUUCGUCUCUUCAUGAGGGGGGCCAUAGUUGAGCGUGUGGAAAUUGUGGGCUAAAUGUAAAUUGAGUCUGACAUUAAAAAAAUGUGCUGUAAAUAAGUCUUUUUAAGAACAUAUCACUUUCUGAAAUGAUCAGAAGUGGAUGGGGAAAUGUUAAAGAAUAAUUCCUUAUAUAAUUAUUCUUUAUUAAUUUUGGAGCAAUAUGCACAAUUAAAAUA